GCUGAGAUAAACAUCAGUUCAUGGAUUAUCUCAGUGUUCAUAAUAACCAUACAGAGGAGGAUAUUUAUUCUUCUUUUAAAGAUAAAGAAAUAGGUGCUGUUUGAUUUUGUAAUCCAUCCUAUUAUUCACAACUUAAAAAAUAAAAACAGAACCCUAUGGUGUAACAAUUUUUGGAAGUUAGUUAAAAUAUUUAUAGCUUGCUAAAUACAUUGAACAAAACCAUGUUUUGGGGGGAAAAUGUACAUUUUUGAGGUCAUGUUCAUUUUCCCUGUGUCUUUAAGUUCAGAGCCAUGAGAAUUUUCAAGUAUAGUUCCUCAAGCUAAAAAAUGUAAGUGUUCAGAUACUACAGGAAUUGGAGAAAAUGAUGAACAGCACAUUGGUUUGCGGAGAAUCCCAUGGCAUAAAGCUACAAAGAAUGACCUCUAGAAAAAUGGGGUACCAGUGCUUAGGAGAUGGGACACUGUGUGUUCAGCAGGAACUGUUUCAUAGAUAGAGCACUGAAAUGCCAUGGCGGCACAGAUCAAAGUCCAAAGAGAAAUGGCAAACAAGAGGAGGGCCACUGAAUGGAAGAAAUCAACUUUGGAAUAGACCUGAUGAUAGGUAAUAUCAAGACAAAAAUACUGCAGAUAUUCAGAAGUCCAGUUAGUAUCUCUGAGUGAUGAAGAACUCCCCACCUGGUACAGAUUUAAAUAUCAUAAUCUCCUGUUAGAAUAUUAGUUUCCUAUUAUAAUUUAGGACAAUAUGAUCUACAUUCUAAACCAUCUACCUCCUUUGAAUAUGUAUUACAUAAUCAGUUCACUCUUCCCCAGUUAUUUGUAUUCAUUCUAAUUAUUUUCUAAAGAAAAUAUUUUGUCUUGAAAGUGUAAUUAACAAAAUGAUAAGCAGAGGGAAUUGUGACACAUUUUGCCUGUCUGUGCCACAACAGUGGCUACAGUAUGUUUAGAAAUAUGACUGGUUUAUAAUGUGAGUGAUCUACUAUGCUCUUUCUAACUUUGCCUUUUUAUCUCCUGGUACUUUGAGGCAAAAUGGACUGCAUAAGAUACUCGCUGUUGGUGCUCUAGAACAGUGAAAUGCUGAAGGAGGAAGAUAAGUACAGAAAGAGAAAACACUCAUCGAUAGGUCAAAGGCUGGAACAAGGUACCUCGCUUCAAGGAGCAAAGAAGGGCUGGAAUGAAGUCUUCAGAGAAUCAGCAGUGGACAUGCCAUGCGAGGCUCACUGUUGGCAAAGAAGCGAAGUCCUUCCUUUCCUGCGAGGACCAGCGGCACAUGGGAGUCUCAGGC